rnacentral:rRNA from 1 species
CAGCAGCCGCGGUAAUACGUAGGUCCCGAGCGUUGUCCGGAUUUAUUGGGCGUAAAGCGAGCGCAGGCGGUUAGAUAAGUCUGAAGUUAAAGGCUGUGGCUUAACCAUAGUACGCUUUGGAAACUGUUUAACUUGAGUGCAAGAGGGGAGAGUGGAAUUCCAUGUGUAGCGGUGAAAUGCGUAGAUAUAUGGAGGGACACCGGUGACGAAAGCGGCUCUCUGGCUUGUAACUGACGCUGAGGCUCGAAAGCGUGGGGAGCAAACAGGAUUAGAUACCCGUGUAGUCCCUGUCUCUUAUACC